rnacentral:rRNA from 1 species
GAUGAACGCUGGCGGCGUGCCUAAUACAUGCCAGUCGAGCGAACAGACGAGGAGCUUGCUCCUCUGACGUUAGCGGCGGACGGGUGAGUAACACGUGGAUAACCUACCUAUAAGACUGGGAUAACUUCGGGAAACCGGAGCUAAUACCGGAUAAUAUAUUGAACCGCAUGGUUCAAUAGUGAAAGACGGUUUUGCUGUCACUUAUAGAUGGAUCCGCGCCGCAUUAGCUAGUUGGUAAGGUAACGGCUUACCAAGGCAACGAUGCGUAGCCGACCUGAGAGGGUGAUCGGCCACACUGGGACUGAGACACGGUCCAGACUCCUACGGGAGGCAGCAGUAGGGAAUCUUCCGCAAUGGGCGAAAGCCUGACGGAGCAACGCCGCGUGAGUGAUGAAGGUCUUCGGAUCGUAAAACUCUGUUAUUAGGGAAGACCAAAUGUGUAAGUAACUAUGCACGUCUUGACGGUACCUAAUCAGAAAGCCACGGCUAACUACGUG